rnacentral:rRNA from 1 species
CAAACAAUUUUAUUUAUUCAUUAAAUUUUUGUCAAAAACCAGAAUUUUCGUAACUGGAAAUUUUAAAAUAUUAAAAACUUUCAACAACGGAUCUCUUGGUUCUCGCAUCGAUGAAGAACGCAGCGAAAUGCGAUACGUAAUGUGAAUUGCAGAAUUCCGUGAAUCAUCGAAUCUUUGAACGCACAUUGCGCCCCUUGGUAUUCCAGGGGGCAUGCCUGUUUGAGCGUCAUUUCCUUUUCAAACAUUCUGUUUGGUAGUGAGUGAUACUCUUUGGAGUUAACUUGAAAUUGCUGGCCUUUUCAUUGGAUGUCCAAAGAGAGGUUUCUCUGCGUGCUUGAGGUAUAAUGCAAGUACGGUCGUUUUAGGUUUUACCAACUGCGGCUAAUCUUUUUUAUACUGAGCGUAUUGGAACGUUAUCGAUAAGAAGAGAGCGUCUAGGCGAACAAUGUUCUAAAGU